rnacentral:rRNA from 1 species
UACAGAGGGUGCGAGCGUUGUUCGGAAUUAUUGGGCGUAAAGGGCGCGUAGGCGGCUCAUACAGUCAGAUGUGAAAUUCCUGGGCUUAACCUGGGGGCUGCAUUUGAUACGUGUGGGCUUGAGUGGGGAAGAGGGUCGUGGAAUUCCCAGUGUAGAGGUGAAAUUCGUAGAUAUUGGGAAGAACACCGGUGGCGAAGGCGGCGACCUGGUCCUUGACUGACGCUGAGGCGCGAAAGCGUGGGGAGCAAACAGG